rnacentral:rRNA from 1 species
AGAGUUGAUCAGUGGCUCAGGACGACGCUGGCGGCGUGCCUAACACAUGCAAGUCGAGCGGAGACAUGCGACGGAAGAGAAGUUUCGGAUGGAUCGGAAGAUGUAUGUUUAGCGGCGGACGGGUGAGUAACGCGUGAGCAACCUGUCCUUCACAGGGGGAUAACACAGCGAAAGUUGUACUAAUACCGCAUGAGACCACAGCGGGACAUCCCGCAGGGGUCAAAGGAGCAAUCCGGUGAAGGGUGGGCUCGCGUCCGAUUAGAUAGUUGGUGAGGUAACGGCCCACCAAGUCGACGAUCGGUAGCCGACCUGAGAGGGUGAUCGGCCACAUUGGGACUGAGACACGGCCCAAACUCCUACGGGAGGCAGCAGUGGGGAAUAUUGGGCAAUGGGGGGAACCCUGACCCAGCAACGCCGCGUGAGGGAAGAAGGUUUUCGGAUCGUAAACCUCUGUCCUUGGUGAAGAGUGAGAGACGGUAGCCAAGGAGGAAGCCCCGGCUAACUACGUGCCAGCAGCAGC